GCGCCUGUAGCUCAGUGGAUUAGAGCACCAGUCUUCGGAACUGGGUGUCGGGGGUUCGAAUCCCUCCAGGCGCG
rnacentral:tRNA from 2 species